AGAGUUUGAUCAUGGCUCAGAGUGAACGCUGGCGGCAGGCCUAACACAUGCAAGUCGAGCGGCAGCGCGGGGGCAACCCUGGCGGCGAGCGGCGGACGGGUGAGGAAUGCAUCGGAAUCUGCCCUGGUGUGGGGGAUAACGUAGGGAAACUUACGCUAAUACCGCAUACGCCCUACGGGGGAAAGCGGGGGACCUUCGGGCCUCGCGCAGCAGGAUGAGCCGAUGCCGGAUUAGCUAGUUGGUGGGGUAAAGGCCCACCAAGGCGACGAUCCGUAGCUGGUCUGAGAGGAUGAUCAGCCACACUGGGACUGAGACACGGCCCAGACUCCUACGGGAGGCAGCAGUGGGGAAUAUUGGACAAUGGGGGCAACCCUGAUCCAGCCAUGCCGCGUGUGUGAAGAAGGCCUUCGGGUUGUAAAGCACUUUUGUACGGGAAGAAAUCGUUUGGGUUAAUACCCUGAGCGGAUGACGGUACCGUAAGAAUAAGC
rnacentral:rRNA from 1 species